GUUCAUAUUUUUAUUUAUGUAGUUUAAAAAAACAUUACAUUUUCAUUGUAAAAUUAAAAUUAUUUUCUUAA
rnacentral:tRNA from 2 species